AACUCCUUCCUUGCAGCAUGUCACCGAGUGCGCAUCUUUCUGUAUUACUGUUAGCUCACGUUUUAUUUUUUUAUGAAGAACUGAAUUUGACGAGGAGCCACUAGCACUGAAAUUUGAAGGUGGAGAUUCAAAACCUGAGAACUGAAAUUUGAGAUUGGAAACGAGAUCUAAGAUUUGAGAAACGACUAUGAAUUCGAGCCUGAGUGCAGUCAAUGCGGGUGUUUACGUGAAGUAAUCAGAUCCCUAAGGGUGAAAUCACACGAUGCGUCAUAGGGCUGCGGAAUACAAAAUGCGUCAUUGAAGCAACCAAUCACCUCUAUUCCGCAUUUUGCCUUUAGAUGUUCCGAAAUAAUCCGGAAUAGAGAGUGCGUAUGUUUUAAACGUCCAAGGAAGCAGUCAUCUGAUGCUGAAUUCAAAAAGGACUUGUUUAAAAUUGCCAUAUAAAAAUAGAAGACUACUUGAAACUAAAAUUAUGAUGGAUGCAUUAAAAGCAGAAGAAGAGGCAGGACUUAUAUAAUUUAUAUUUAUAAAGAAAAUUAUUAUCUCGAUGUAACAUUUUUAUUCUCAUUCUUGGAAAAAACAUAAAGUACAAAACUGUAUCGGAUUCAUGUUUACUUACAAAAUUA